rnacentral:rRNA from 1 species
AUUGAACGCUGGCGGCAGGCCUAACACAUGCAAGUCGAGCGGAUGAAGGGAGCUUGCUCCUGGAUUCAGCGGCGGACGGGUGAGUAAUGCCUAGGAAUCUGCCUGGUAGUGGGGGAUAACGUCCGGAAACGGGCGCUAAUACCGCAUACGUCCUGAGGGAGAAAGUGGGGGAGCUUCGGACCUCACGCUAUCAGAUGAGCCUAGGUCGGAUUAGCUAGUUGGUGGGGUAAAGGCCUACCAAGGCGACGAUCCGUAACUGGUCUGAUAGGAUGAUCAGUCACACUGGAACUGAGACACGGUCCAGACUCCUACGGGAGGCAGCAGUGUGGAAUAUUGGACAAUGGGCGAAAGCCUGAUCCAGCCAUGCCGCGUGUGUGAAGAAGGUCUUCGGAUUGUAAAGCACUUUAAGUUGGGAGGAAGGGCAGUAAGUUAAUACCUUGCUGUUUUGACGUUACCAACAGAAUAAGCACCGGCUAACUUCGUG